UGAGUGACCUGGAAUAAGUCUCCACCC
rnacentral:piRNA from 1 species